rnacentral:rRNA from 1 species
GCCACGCCGCCUCAGAAACUUAAAUAGAAUUGACGGGGGCCCGCACAAGCGGUGGAGCAUGUGGUUUUAAUUCGAUGAUACGCGAGGAACCUUACCGUGGGCUCAAAUGUAUGUUGACGUAUUCUGAAAGGGAUACUUCUUCGGACAAUAUACAAGGUGCUGCAUGGUUGUCGUCAGCUCGUGCCGUGAGGUGUCGGGUUAAGUCCCAUAACGAGCGCAACCCCUAUCAUUAGUUGCCAUCAGGUCAAGCUGGGGACUCUAAUGAAACUGCCUACGCAAGUAGUGAGGAAGGUGGGGAUGACGUCAAAUCAGCACGGCCCUUACGUCCAGGGCUACACACGUGCUACAAUGGCCGGUACAACGGGCAGCGAAGGAGCGAUCCGGAGCGAAUCCUAAAAAGCCGGUCCCAGUUCGGAUUGCAGGCUGAAACUCGCCUACAUGAAGUUGGAGUUGCUAGUAAUCGCGAAUCAGAAUGUCGCGGUGAAUGCGUUCCCGGGUCUU